rnacentral:tRNA from 1 species
GGCACCGUAGCUUAGCUGAAUAGAGCAUCUGACUACGGAUCAGAAGGUCACAGGUUUGAAUCCUGUCGGUGUCACCA